rnacentral:rRNA from 1 species
ACGGGUGAGUAACACGUGGGCAACCUGCCCUUGAGACUGGGAUAACUUCGGGAAACCGGAGCUAAUACCGGAUAAUAUAAGGAACCUCCUGGUUCCUUGUUGAAAGAUGGUUUCGGCUAUCACUUAAGGAUGGGCCCGCGGCGCAUUAGCUAGUUGGUGAGGUAACGGCUCACCAAGGCGACGAUGCGUAGCCGACCUGAGAGGGUGAUCGGCCACACUGGGACUGAGACACGGCCCAGACUCCUACGGGAGGCAGCAGUAGGGAAUCUUCCACAAUGGACGAAAGUCUGAUGGAGCAACGCCGCGUGAGUGAUGAAGGCCUUCGGGUCGUAAAGCUCUGUUGUUAGGGAAGAACAAGUGCGAGAGUAACUGCUCGCACCUUGACGGUACCUAACCAGAAAGCCACGGCUAACUACGUGCCAGCAGCCGCGGUAAUACGUAGGUGGCAAGCGUUAUCCGGAAUUAUUGGGCGUAAGGCGCGCGCAGGUGGUUUCUUAAGUCUGAUGUGAAAGCCCACGGCUCAACCGUGGAGGGUCAUUGGAAACUGGGGAACUUGAGUGCAGAAGAGGAAAGUGGAAUUCCAA